rnacentral:rRNA from 1 species
UACAGAGGGGGCAAGCGUUGUUCGGAAUUACUGGGCGUAAAGGGCGCGUAGGCGGCCUGUUAAGUCGAACGUGAAAUCCCCGGGCUCAACCCGGGAACUGCGUCUGAUACUGGAAGGCUUGAAUCCGGGAGAGGGAUGUGGAAUUCCAGGUGUAGCGGUGAAAUGCGUAGAUAUCUGGAGGAACACCGGUGGCGAAGGCGGCAUCCUGGACCGGCAUUGACGCUGAGGCGCGAAAGCUAGGGGAGCAAACGGG